CUGGCUUGGGAGGGCAUCCUCUGCUACACCAUAAGCACAUUGUUACUAAAGAGUAUUCUACUAGAUUGGAGUGUUCCUUCUGGCAUGGGGGUUUAAGAAGCAAGCAGCUCGGUGUGUCUUGCUUUUGGAGAGAGCCAAAGGAUUGUAUUACACAGCUGGGAAGCUGCUCUACUGUAUAUACUGGAAUAAAAUCGG
rnacentral:lncRNA from 1 species